rnacentral:rRNA from 1 species
AACGCGAAGAACCUUACCUGGGUUAAAUCCCCCGGAAUCCUCAAGAGAUUGAGGAGUGCCCUUGCGGGAGCCGGGGAGAAGGUGCUGCAUGGCUGUCGUCAGCUCGUGUCGUGAGAUGUUGGGUUAAGUCCCGCAACGAGCGCAACCCUUGUCGUUAGUUGCUAACAGAUGACGCUGAGCACUCUAACGAGACUGCCGACGUGAAGUCGGAGGAAGGUGGGGAUGACGUCAAGUCCUCAUGGCCCUUAUGCCCAGGGCUACACACGUGCUACAAUGGCCGGCACAAAGGGUCGCGAAACGGCAACGUGAAGCCAAUCCCAAAAAACCGGUCCCAGUUCGGAUUGCAGUCUGCAACUCGACUGCAUGAAGUCGGAAUCGCUAGUAAUCGCGGAUCAGCACGCCGCGGUGAAUACGUUCCCGGGCCUUGUACACACCGCUACAGU